rnacentral:lncRNA from 1 species
AGACUUAAAGAAAUUAAAAUUUUCUUACUCAAUUUCGAACUCAUUUAAAAAGUAAUGAGCAAAGUUUAAAGCAUGAUGAGGUUUAUUUAGGUUCAUGAACAGCGUAAUGAUAAUAGACUGGAAACCGUCCGUUUUUCAGGUCUUUAAAUGAACAAAUAAAUUAUUAUUAAAUUCAAUGAAGGUACAUGAUCGAUGAAGCAAUACAAUGCACGUACGUCGCAAAAAUUCAGAAUAGAAAAAAGCUCAUCCUUUUGAAUUAUCCAUUGGUCUGGGCAAGAGAGGAUUAAUAAGUCUUAGAGAAGGUUGCGAGACAUGUUGAUCGGGAAAUAAGAAAUUACGAUCGGCGGAGGGGAAUUAUGCUUCGACUUUGUCGUCUUGGUUACCGGCGGUGAGGAUUUCCGAUCAUCAUCAACGACGAAAUCGUCAGUCACCUUGGAAGAAGAGGUUGGUGAUGGAAAAUUAGGAAGAAAGCAGCUAACAAAUAUCCCCGACAUCAAACCCGUUAUUGCUAGCUAGUUAAUUAAGCUUGGUUUGGUUUUUCUGUGAUAUUUCUUUCUCUGAUAAUUGCAACAAUAUAUACAAGCUUGGUCUGAAGCAGUCCGCGAGUCAGAAGAUUGGGUGGAAAGUUCUUAGGAAGUCACGCGACUCUUGGGGAGCAAGGAAACCAGACUUUUCAACGGCGACAAUCGUCUAUGUGUCAGUUGAGGAGCUACGUCAAACUGGGUGACUGAUGAGGUGGGCCCGGGUGGCGGCUGAUUUGUGGAGGUGGGCUCCACACACUGAUCUUAACAAAUAACACUCUAUCCGUGGAGAAAUCUAAGUUAAGUUAAGAUUUUUAUAGUUGAAAGCACAUACAUUUUCAAUAAUAAUAAUAAUUUUUUAAACAAUGUAUUUUUAACUUUAUUUGACUAUUAUUUAAU